CCAAUAGCGUAUAUUAAAGUUGUUGCAGUUAAAAAGCUCGUAGUUGAAUUUCGGGAUCGACGGGUCGGUCGCGCCUCUGGUGUGUACUGGCCCUGUCGGUUUCUCCCUUCUGACGAACCACGGUGUCAUUAAUUUGGUGUCGUGGGAAAUCAGGACUGUUACUUUGAAAAAAUUAGAGUGUUUAAAGCAGGCAUUCGCUUGAAUACAUUAGCAUGGAAUAAUGAAAUAGGACGUUUGAUCUUAUUUUGUUGGUUUCUAAGAUCGACGUAAUGAUUAAUAGGGAUAGUUGGGGGCAUUAGUAUUCAAUUGUCAGAGGUGAAAUUCUUGGAUUUAUUGAAGACUAACUACUGCGAAAGCAUUUGCCAAGGAUGUUUUCAUUAAUCAAGAACGAAAGUUAGGGGAUCGAAGACGAUCAGAUACCGUCGUAGUCUUAACCAUAAACUAUGCCGACUAGGGAUCGGAUGAUGUUAAUUUUUUAAUGACUCAUUCGGCGCCUUACG
rnacentral:rRNA from 1 species